ensembl:lncRNA
AAGUGUAGGAGUAGGUGUAGGUGUAAGUGUAGGUGUAGGUGUAAGUGUAGGUGUAAGUGUAGGUGUAAGUAUAAGUGUAGGUGUAGGAGUAGGUGUAGGUGUAAGUGUAGGUGUAGGUGUAGGUGUAGGUGUAGGUGUAGGUGUGAGUGUAGGUGUAAUUGUAAGUGUAGCUGUAGGUGUAAGUGUAGGUGUAAGUAUAAGUGUAGGUGUAGGUGUAGGUGUAAUUGUAAGUGUAGCUGUAGGUGUGAGUGUAGGUGUAGAUGUAAAUGUAGGAGUAUUUGUAGGUGUAAGUGUAGGUGUAAGUAUAAGUGUAGGUGUAGGUGUAGGUGUAGGUGUAAGUGUAGGUGUAGGUGUAGGUGUAAGUGUAGGUGUAGGUGUGAGUGUAGGUGUAAGUAUAAGUGUAGGUGUAGAUGUAAAUGUAGGAGUAGGUGUAGGUGUAAGUGUAGGUGUGAGUGUAGGUGUAGGUGUAAG